rnacentral:lncRNA from 13 species
CUCUGGAAUAGAAGGGGCCACCCAGCAAUGGGCAGAGGCUACAGGAAACCAAAAGACGACGGCUCUGCCCUGAUGUGUUAGCAUUAGCUGCCUGUGGAUUUCUGAGCCGCGCUGAAACGGGGACUCAGAGCGGCCAACCUAAGUUGGUCAAGCAGAGAUGGCAGUGUGAAGCAAAGGAGGAAGACAAAAAUAAGAUCAAGUGAAGUGUAUGAUACAAGAUCUUCGUGUGCACAUAAACAGUAUCAGGUGAAAAAAUGUCUGGUAAUGGCUUUUCAGGCUGCUGUUGGGAAUAAGAGCUAUAUUCACUUUUGCUUCCACCCAAGUUUCAUCUUUGAGCUCUGACUUGCACUCAGAUAGGAAAUGUCAGCUGUCAGCUCGGUUUACAGACUUGGAUGAGAGUUUGGAAGAAAGAGACUCCCCAGAAGACUACAUGGCCUUGCUGUAGCAAUAUUAAACCUCUUGGUCAAGUGAGUACACUGGACACUUAAUU